GACGAACGCUGGCGGCGUGCUUAACACAUGCAAGUCGAACGGAGUGGCGAACGGGUGAGUAACACGUGGGUGACCUGCCCUGCACUUCGGGAUAAGACUGGGAAAAUGGGUCUAAUACCGGAUAGUUUGGGAUGGGCCGUCGGCAUAUCAGCUUGUUGGUGGGGUAAUGGCCUACCAAGGCGGCGACGGGUAGCCGGCCUGAGAGGGUGGACGGCCUCGUGGGGCCUGAGGCACGGACCAGACUCCUACGGGAGGCAGCGGGGGGGAAUAUUGCGCAAUGGGCGGAAGCCUGUUGCAGCGACGCCGGGUGGGGGAUGACGGCUUUCUGGUUGUAAACGCCUUUCACCAUCGACGCGGUAGAUGGAGAAGAAGCACCGGCUAACUACGUGCCAGCAGCCGCGGUAAUAC
rnacentral:rRNA from 1 species